UAAGUUCAUACAGGCAGUACUAAUUAAAAGUAGGUCUCAUAUCUUUGUCUUUCAGGCUUUAAGGUUGGCACUCUAUUGCCAGAAGACUGAAUUAUAAUAGCAAUAAGAAAAUUAUCAGAAUUUUGGUAACUUGCACAGAUGGGAGAAGGCAAGGGAGAAUGGAUAAACUAUAUGCACAAUCUCUGAAAGACAGCACACCACUGAUGCAGAGGUUAAGUAUCAUCCUCAAUGCCACAGACAACAUAAGAAGAGCAGAAAAAACAAAACCUAUAUCUUAUACUUCCUGUUCUAACUUUAUAAUUUUAAAGCUGCCUCCCUUUCAAAAUCUCAUAAAAAGGCUAAAGAUACACAAUUUCAGCUAACAGUUCACAUGCCUUAAGAAAACACCAGUGAUAAAUUCCAAAGUUCAGAACACAAAUAUAAACUUUCUAAAAGCAUUAAAAAAAAAAAGAUGACAAUUGAAAUUGUAACAAAGCUGUCUUUGCACAUUUACUGGGCACUCAAUACUUUAUCCCUUCCAAUCCACCAUCUUCUUUUUUGGGAAAAAAAAAGUAAUGCAAAAGUGAGUGAUGAACAAAAACAACAGCCAUCUCCAUGGUAACACACAAUGUAUUGACAUCAACUGCCCACCUCUGGAAUUGGGGUGCUUCUCAUCGUUGGAGUCAAUAGAGCUGAGAAAAGGAAUUUGGAAGGAGCUUUGCAAGAUGCUACCACCUACUCUGUUUAAAAUCAACUAAGCUUGUUCUAGUUAGACAUUCUAUAAAACCUUUCUCAACUCAAAGAAGGGACUCAGAAAAAGAACUCCCCAGCUGGUUUCUGCUGAUAACUAGAAGCACCAGGAGAAAAACUAUAGCUGCGUCCUCAAGGAAUUCCUGACUACUAGCCAAAGCAACACCUUCUAGGGAGAUUAGCACUUUUUAAGAAAUCAUACCAUUUAUUCAUGCAAAAGGACAUACACUUUAGAUAUGCACUGCUAUUGUGUCUUCCUGUUUGGAAGAACUGUCUGUCUCAUGACAACAAUGAGAACAAAUGUAAAAUGAAUUCAAGACACAUUUCAUCUAAAUUUUUGAAGACCUUAUAAAAGAGCCUAAGCAAAUGAUAUCUGGCUUAUAGAUUCAGUUGACUUAUGAGACUGCAUUUUAUACAUACAGAUGAUUCAUUAAAGACACCCACUUUCAGCCAGCAGAAAAUCAGAAUACACCCAUAAUCACAUUAAGCUCCAACACUUAUACGAACCUUUGAUGAUUCUCUGUAUAAAUCUUUCACACAGUGCUUUGCUUUGCCUGUUUCAAAAUCAAAACCUUCAGUCUGCAGCAGUUAGUCUAUGGCAUCAAUUUUUAUUCCUUACACAAAAACUUUAAA
rnacentral:lncRNA from 1 species